UCUCCGUUGGUGAACCAGCGGAGGGAUCAUUACUGAGUUACCGCUCUACAACCCUUUGUGAACACACCUAACUGUUGCUUCGGCGGGCAGAGGUCCCUCGCGGAUCUCUCCCGGCAACGCCCUCACGGGCGGAGCGCCCGCCGGAGGAUACCAAACUCUAUUUUAACGACGUUUCUUCUGAGUGGCACAAGCAAAUAAUUAAAACUUUUAACAACGGAUCUCUUGGUUCUG
rnacentral:misc_RNA from 1 species